rnacentral:rRNA from 1 species
AUUGCCUCAGUAACGGCGAGUGAAGCGGCAAAAGCUCAAAUUUGAAAUCUGGCUCCUUCGGGGUCCGAGUUGUAAUUUGCAGAGGAUGCUUCGGUUGCGGCCCCCAUCUAAGUACCCUGGAACGGGUCGUCAUAGAGGGUGAGAAUCCCGUAUGGGAUGGGGUGUCCGCGUCCGUGUGAAGCUCCUUCGACGAGUCGAGUUGUUUGGGAAUGCAGCUCUAAAUGGGUGGUAAAUUUCAUCUAAAGCUAAAUACUGGCCGGAGACCGAUAGCGCACAAGUAGAGUGAUCGAAAGAUGAAAAGCACUUUGAAAAGAGAGUUAAACAGCACGUGAAAUUGUUGAAAGGGAAGCGCUUGCGAUCAGACUCGCCUACGGGGUUCAGCCGGCUUUCGGGCCGGUGUACUUCCCCGUGGGCGGGCCAGCGUCGGUUUGGGCGGCCGGUCAAAGGCCCCUGGAAUGUAGCGCCUCUCGGGGCGCCUUAUAGCCAGGGGUGCAAUGCGGCCUGCCUGGACCGAGGAACGCGCUUCGGCACGGACGCUGGCA